UAUACUGCUCUUAUUGAAGCAGCAGUGGGAGGACAUUAUGACAUUGUACAGUUGCUAUUAAAUAAUGGAGCUGAUCGAAGCACUGAAAAUAAUUUAGGACAUACUGCUCUAGUUGCAGCAGCAAGAGAUGGACAUGAUGAGAUUGUGCAAUUAUUAAGUGAAGAAGCUGAUCCAAAUACUUCAGUUCAUAAUGAGGAGUUAUAUGAAGCUGCUGAAAGAGGUGAUUCUACUAGUGUCCAGUCUGCACUGUCUCAAGGAGCUAAUGUAAAUUAUCAGAAUCCUGAAGAGGGUGGAGCUACUUCUCUUCAUGUUGCUGCAA